CCUACGGGAGGCAGCAGUGGGGAAUAUUGCACAAUGGGGGAAACCCUGAUGCAGCAACGCCGCGUGAGUGAAGAAGUAUUUCGGUAUGUAAAGCUCUAUCAGCAGGGACGCAGGAAGACGGUACCUGACUACGAUGCCCCGGCUAACUACGUGCCAGCAGCCGCGGUAAUAAGUAGGGGGCAAGCGUGAUCCGGAGUUACUGGGUGUAAAGGGAGCGUAGACGGCUGUGCAAGUCUGAAGUGAAAGCCCGUGGCUCAACCGCGGAACUGCUUUUGAAACUGUAUAGCUUGAGUACUGGAGAGGAAGGCGGAAUUACUAGUGUAGGAGUGAAAUGCGUAGAGAUUAGGAGGAACAUCAGUGGCGAAGGCGGCCUGCUGGACAGAAACUGACGUUGAGGCUCGAAAGCGUGGGGAGCAAACAGGAUUAGAUACCCGUGUAGUC
rnacentral:rRNA from 1 species